AGGUAGGGAGAUGAAAGGCUGGUCAGGGUAGCUCAGUUUUUGCUUUGGAACCUUCCAGAAACACUUUGUAUCAGCAUAUUGUCAAAUGUGACUUUAAGAACAUCCGGUAAGGGUUCCUGCCCCUGUCUGGUUUAGGCUUAGUACAAAAGGACCCCAGCAAAAGGCCAGAACCUCUCACUCUCUGAUUUGGCUUCCUUGGCAAUAACACUGCCUUUGUCUGCCUCAGAAGGAUGCUGAAUCCUCAAGUCUAGGAGAUCCCUACCUCGCUGCUAAACCACAUCAGUUCUUCACUGCUGAGCUGUGAGCCUUUAAA
rnacentral:lncRNA from 1 species